GGAAUGCAGCUCAAAAUGGGUGGUAAAUUUCAUCUAAAGCUAAAUACCGGCCAGAGACCGAUAGCGCACAAGUAGAGUGAUCGAAAGAUGAAAAGCACUUUGGAAAGAGAGUCAAAAAGUACGUGAAAUUGUUGAAAGGGAAGCGCUUGCAACCAGACCUGUCCGCSGGCGAUCAACCUCCGUUCUCGGGGGUGCACUCGUCGGCGAUCAGGCCAGCAUCGAUUYGAGCGGUCGGACAAAGGCCUUGGGAAUGUAGCUCCUCUCGGGGAGUCUUAUAGCCCUCGGUGCAAUGCGGCCAGCCCAGAUCGAGGACCGCGCUUCGGCUAGGAUGCUGGCGCAAUGGUUGUAAGCGACCCGUCUUGAAACACGGACCAAGGAGUCUAACAUCUAUGCAAGUGUUUGGGUGUCAAACCCAUACGCGGAA
rnacentral:rRNA from 1 species